GAUGAACGCUAGCGGCAGGCCUAACACAUGCAAGUCGAGGGGUAACUAGUGUGAUAGCAAUAUUACUUUGGCUAGACCGGCGCACGGGUGCGUAACACGUAUGCAACUUACCUUAUACUGGGGAAUAACUUCGAGAAAUCGGCGCUAAUACCCCAUAACAUUGCGAAGAGGCAUCUCUUUGCAAUUAAAGCUCCGGCGGAUUAAGAUGGGCAUGCGUCCAAUUAGCUAGUUGGUGAGGUAACGGCUCACCAAGGCUACGAUUGGUAGGGGUUCUGAGAGGAUGAUCCCCCACACUGGUACUGAGACACGGACCAGACUCCUACGGGAGGCAGCAGUGAGGAAUAUUGCGCAAUGGACGAAAGUCUGACGCAGCCAUGCCGCGUGCAGGAUGACGGCCCUAUGGGUUGUAAACUGCUUUUGUACGGGAAUAAACCCUUCUACGUGUAGGAGGCUGAAGGUACCGUAAGAAUAAGCACCGGCUAACUCCGUGCCAGCCGCCGCCGUAACAC
rnacentral:rRNA from 1 species